GAUGAACGCUGGCGGCGUGCCUAAUACAUGCAAGUCGAGCGAACAGACGAGGAGCUUGCUCCUCUGACGUUAGCGGCGGACGGGUGAGUAACACGUGGAUAACCUACCUAUAAGACUGGGAUAACUUCGGGAAACCGGAGCUAAUACCGGAUAAUAUAUUGAACCGCAUGGUUCAAUAGUGAAAGACGGUUUUGCUGUCACUUAUAGAUGGAUCCGCGCCGCAUUAGCUAGUUGGUAAGGUAACGGCUUACCAAGGCAACGAUGCGUAGCCGACCUGAGAGGGGGUACGGCCAACCUGGAAUGGGGACCCGGUCCAACCCCCGAGGGGGGGCAGAAGUGGGGAAUCUUCCGAAAGGGGGGAAAGCCUGACGGAGCAACGCCGGGGGGGUGAUGAAGGGUUUCGGAUCGUAAAACCCUGUUAUUGGGGAAAAAAAAAUGUGAAAGUAACGAUGCAGGUUUUGACGGUACCUAAUCAAAAAGCCACGGCUAACUACGU
rnacentral:rRNA from 1 species